GGAGUUGAGGGAGACGGAGAGGGAGAGGAAGGGAAGGGAAGGGAAGGAGAUGGGGAGAGGAGGGAAGGUGUGCUGCAGAUUGGAUCCACUGGAUUUCGACCCUUCGAGGCUGCGGGUUCGGAAGUUCCUUCGUCGGCAGAUCAAGGUUCGGAUCAUGCUUCCGAUGAGCAUCCGAUGCAACACCUGCGAGAAUCACAUUCGCCAGGGGACCAAGCUUCAUUCCAGGAAGGAGGAAGUCGCCGGCGAGACGGCCUUGGCGGGGGGGAUCAAGAGGUUUAGGUUUUACUUCAAAUGCACCAAGUGCUCUGCUGUCCUCACCAUCAAAACUUAUCAUCCGCCGCAGGAUCCCGAUUACGUGGUGGAGUCCGGGGCGACGAGAAUUUUCGAGCCCCUGACUCCACCGCGUGAUUCUGAGCCCCGGCGUAAGCAGGACGAGGUGGUGGAGAAUGAGAAAAGGAGUAGUGAGGCUGAAGAGAUGGGCGAUGUUAUGAACCCCUUGCAGAACAGUACGUCCGAUUCCAAGAGAGGGAUGGCGCCUGAUGAAUUGAAUUCCACGAAGAAAUCCAAAAAUUUUGUACGUAGGAUCGAAGACGUAGAUUCUGAGGAUGAGGAAGACCUGACUCGACCUUGUGCUAGUUAUGACGAUUCAUUGAACAAUGCUCUCAAGAAGAGAAAAUUUUCCGAGGAAUUUCCGGACGAGCCAACAAGUUCCUUGACAAAAGCUACUACCAGUGACAUCUCGAAUGACAGAGAAGAGGAAAUUUUCUGAGGAAUUUCUGGACAAGCCAACGGAUUCCUUGACAAAAGCUACUUCCAGUGACAUCUUGAGUGACGGAGGAAAUCAUGUCGGGUUCACGGGACCGGAGCGAGAGUAAAUUGUUGUCCAAUUCUUCCUCUGUGCGAAUUGCUGUGGUAAAGAAAGCUGGUCCAACCUCUAGUCCGAGCAUUGCACUCUAGUCUUUAUGUCAAAACUAUGAAAGUAGUGAUGAUGAGGAUUGAACCAUUGGAUACCAUUCGUCUUCUAGCUGUAUUAGCAGUUUUUUUACUCCAUCUCCCCUUAAUUUCUCACUCAAGGAAAAACAAAUGCGACAUGUUUUUUGAUGGGAACUCGGCCUUCAUCUUGCUCCGCGAAGUUUUCCCUUUUGAAAUUUUCUUCUUGGUGCA